CUACGGGUUGCAGCAGUCGAGAAACUUCUGUAAUGUACGAAAGUAUGACAGAGCAAGCCAGAGUGCUUUUCCGUAUUGGAAAAGCUUUUGUGCGAUGCAAAAAGUCGCACGAAUAAGGACUGGGCAAGACUGGUGCCAGCCGCCGCGGUAAUCCCAGCAGUCCAAGUCGCAAUCGCGUUUAUUGGGUCUAAAACAUCCGUAGCUUGCUAUGUAGGUCUCUUGUGAAAUCCGGCCUCUUAAGGGUCGAAGUGCGAGAGAUACUACAUAGCUAGAGACCGGGAGAGGCAAGAAGUACGAUAGGAGUAGCGGUUAAAUGUGUUGAUCCCUAUUGGACUAACGAUAGCGAAGGCAUCUUGCUAGAACGGAUCUGACAGUGAGGGAUGAAGGCUAGGGGCGCAAAAUGGAUUAGAUACCCUCGUAGUC
rnacentral:rRNA from 1 species